CCACCCCUCCUACCCUGCUGAGGUCAGCGCCUGAGCACCCUCGCCCACCAGAGGCUGAGGAGAGGUGACUUUGAUGAGUGGAGAGACGGCCGAGGGGCGUGGCCAUGUCCCACAGCAGGUGAGUGGCAGGAGGAAGAAUGGUUUCUGGGCCCAAGGAGCCAGACCUCGCCCUCCAACCCCACCCUGCAGGCAGAGCCGAAGCUGGACUCCCGCCCAAAUGCCAGUGCAGGGAACAGCACCCCGGGGUGGGCAGGAGCCUCGAUUUCCCUGCUUGGAAAGUGGACUUUGGCACUCUCCCGCUGCGAGGGCCUCUGGGGGCACCUUGCAGGGCCGGAGUGGGGAGGGCUGGGGGCGGGGCACCACCCCACCGUCUUGGGUUUCGGGUGGAGGCAUCUUGCUAUUUCUGGACAUCUCAGCUGCUGCUGGCGCCUUAUAAAUAACCCAGCCCUGGCACCCUCCGGGGGCCGACAGGUGCUACCCCCCCACAGGCCCUGCAGCCCCUCACUACCCCCCCAGAGGGGCCCCUGGAUGAGUCAACAUGGCAGCAGCCAGUGGGGGGACUGGGCGGGAUGCAGGGAAGAGCGGGCUGUAGCCUCUACGUGGCCUGGUCGUCCUGGGGGCUUGGAGGGCAGCUCCCACCUGAGACCACGCUGGGGGUGGGGGGAGUUAUAGAGCCCAGGUUUGCCUGUGGGCUGUGAGAUGCCGUGACGGAGCUCAUCUGGCCAAACCCCGGCCGACACGGUGCAGGCGUGUGGGGCAGCCGGCUGGUCCCGGGCGCCAGCGGACCCCGCACCAGCGCCCCCAGAUGGGGGACGCCUGCCUGCCCCCACCGGGGGCUUCCUGUAGAUGGUGACAAAUACAAGAGCAUCUGUAGGGCCUGGGAGAGCUGGGGCUCCGCCCACCCGGUCCCCAGGGGCACACAUGGGCCUCCCCCAAGGGCUCUGGGCUGGGAGCAGCACAGAGCUCGGGCUUCAGCCUCCAGGUGUGGUGGAGAAGGGGACAAGAGAACAGAGCCACGGCCACGCCCUGUGGCUUUGGAAGAGUGGCCCACUGAGAGAGGCCCCCAAGAAGCAGGUGUCAGCUUCCAUCAGGGCGCCCCCAGCACCCCCAGCAGCAGGACAGGCCCUGGAUGGAGCCACCCCCUCUGGCUCCUCCUGGAGCUCCCGGGCCCCCCGCUGCAGGCCGGGGACCAGAAUGUGGGGUGCAGAGGGCUGGGAGCGGCCUGAUGAGGCCUCCCCGAGAGCAUGGGGUGGACCUGCCCAGGCAGAGUGGACCUGCACCCCUGCCCGCUGCAACCCCCUCCAGGGCCUCCCCUCCACCUCCAGGGGAGCAGCUCUAAGCCUCCACCCCGUGGGCCCUGUCUCCACAGCAGCAGCCGGCAGCCAGCAGCCACCAUGUCUGACGAGGAAGUUGAACACGUUGAGGAGCAGUAUGAAGAGGAAGAAGAGGCCCAGGAGGAAGCUCCCAGCCCUGCAGAAGUCCAUGAGCCAGCCCCCGAAGUUCAUGUACCAGGUAUGUGACGCGCCUCCCCCGCCACGUGGCACGCAUGGCCACGGGGGCGCGUGCAGGAGCCGGGCAAGAAGGAACAAGGGCCGCGUAACCUACUCACAGCCUGGCUCUGCUCGGACCCCGCCCCUCCGCCCUCCCCCCCUUCCCUCCCCCACUCUCCCCACUCGGCCUGCUCACUCCUGGUUCUCUCUCUCUCUCUGCCCUCCAUGGUGCUGCUCCACAGAGGAAGUCCACGAAGGUAGGCCCCCCCCACUGCAUGCACCUGUUCCCCCUCCCCCCGUGAAGCCUCUGGACUGGACACAGAGUGGGACGGUGCAGCCUGGAGCAAUGGCCCAGGGCGCCUGGCUGGCACGGGCAGGCUCUGUGCCCCUGGCAGGGAGCAGUCGGAGCCGGGAGCAGCAGGGCCCCUCCUGGGCAGCAGCAGGGAGGCGGAAGGAGCAGGACGGGCAGUGCUGAGGCCAGGGUAUCCGUUGGGACCCUCGGGGUCUGCCAGGGUGGGGGUGGGGAGGAGCAGAGGGGGCAAAGGGGGAAGGUGGCCUCCACCUGGUUCUGGACCAGACCAGUGGAGGGGAGCAGAGCGGGUGAGGCCGCAGGGCAGUGCAGGGCCGGGGGGGAGAGGCAGCAGGUCAGGCUGAGGCCCAGGGGGGGACGCUGGGGACCCGGCGUGGCCGAGGGCAUGCGUGCAAACGCCCAGUGCUUCAGGCCCUGCAUCUCUCCUGCCAGACACACCUGGGCGGGCGGGAGGGGCCCCAGGGCGGGGGCUGCUGGGCAGAGGGAAGGCAGAGUCCAGUCAGGGGCCCUGGUGCAGGGCUAUUAGACCCCUGUGGGCACAGCCGCAGUCCCCGAGGCAGCAAGGGUCCUCCCCACUGGGCCUGAGUUCCCCCCGAGGGUGAGAGCAUUGUGUGUGCAUGGACAGUGACCAGCCACAGCCCCCAGCUGUGCCCGGGCCGGGCCGGGCCAGGCCGGGACCUCCCCAGGGAACCCAGGGCGUGGAUGGCCCUGUCCAAGGAAGCGGCACCCGUGGACAGAGGCAGGGUCAGCCCAGGCAGUGUGCAGGCCUGGAGGAGCUGUGGAGCCGUGGUCCACAGAGGCCUGGCCCGGCCUCCUCAGAGCUAGAGGGGAGAGAAAGCCGAGGCCGUGCAUGGAGCUGGCCUGGGCUUGGGGGAGAGAGGCUGUCUAGGCGUGGCCUCGGGGCUGCCCCCGGAUGGAAGGACCUUGAAGGCAGGGGUCAGGGUCUUAGGCAUGGUCCAGGGCGGAGGCUGGGCCCCGUGUUGCAGGAGGUGGAGGUGGUCUCGGACUCGCUGGGGCACUGCCAGCCAGGGCCCUGGGACCCCGCCAUUCACGGCCAGGCCAUCCCGAGCGGGGGUCCUCAUUGGCACCCAGCUGCGCCCACCCUGUCCCCAGACAGAAGUCGCCAGCCCGGGCCAGGGGCGCUCCUGGGGCCAGGCCUGGGCGCGGGGCAGGGGAGGGGGGCGCCCGCUGCUCUGCUCGCGUGGCCGGACGCUGCCCGCAGCCGCGGCUUUUGUCUCGCACGUGCGCUUGUGCCUCGCGCCACGAAGACGCCCUCGAGGACGUGCGGGAGGAGGAGGAGGAAGGUGAGAGCCCGCUGUCCCCGUAGCGGCCGGCCGGCUCUGCCCCCUGCUCUGCGGCCUGGCCUCGCCGCUUCGCCCGCGUGCGCCUUGGCCCCCCCGCCCCCUUCCCUCGUCUUUCCUGUGUUCCUUGCCCCUCUGUGUCUCCACCCCAAGCCCCUCUCCUGUGACCCUGGAGUGAGACAAGACCCUCUUGUUUCUCGAGGCCCCGGAGGGAAAGGGUGGGCUCAGCUGAAGAGGCAGGCGGCCCCGCGGGUGGGAACCCAGUAGGCCCCCACCUGCAGCCCCCCGCCCGUCUCUCACCUGCUCUCUCUCUCCCCCUCCCCAUGCCGCAUCGUUGGGGUCUCCAGAAGAGAAGCCAAGACCCAAGUGAGUACCAGCGUGGCCCAGGGCUGGGGUGCGAGGGGAGAAGCCCAGGUGUACAGGACGGGUGAUGCUGAGGUGGCCCAGAACACUGACUGGGGAGGCCCAGGGCAAGCCAGGAGGGCUUCCUGCAAGAGGAGGCUACAGCCAAAGCGAGGAGGGGUCCAGCAGGGUGGGUGUCAGCGGGAGGAAGGAAGAGGCGGGAGCAGAGGAGAGGUCGGAGGUGUUGCCUCUCUGGACCCCACUCCGUGAGCCCCAGUACUGGUGGUAGGGGUGGGGGUCUCCCAGGGCUCUGAGUGUGCAAGUGAACAUGGAAGGAGCUGCCUGGGUGGGGUGGGGGCUCUUGGGGGGGCCCCUGAGCCCCUUCUCGGGGGUCUCUCAGAGAUGGAUUUUGGAACGCAGCUUCCCCUGGUGCCGGUUGUGGGAAGGACCUGGGGGCCCCGGCUGGUGCGCCCCAGGGGCUCCUGGGAGAGCGGCUGCCGUGUUUGCACUUUACAGAACGUGGGGCCGGCUCCCAAGAUAUUUUCUCAUUUUAGAAAAAUUGUUUGUGUUUUCAUUAUGAAAAUAAAACACCUCAUUAAGGGAAAUUUGGAAAAUAC
ensembl:lncRNA